AGGGCUGCAUCCAGUGCUAGUCCUACUCAGAGGAGGCCCAUUGAAAUUAAGGACCAACUUAGGCUCAUUAUUUGGUCUACUCUGAGUAGGGCUAGCAUUAUAUACAGCCCG